CAAGACUCCAGAAAUCAUACACUAUUCAGCCGACGUACCAAACGAUGGUUGCUGAAAAUAAGAGAGUCACAUUUUCUCCUCGGAAAAAUAGCACCUACGUAGCUAAUCAGCAUAUCAAUGGCUUCUUCAAGUUUACAAAAGUGAAAUAGCAAUGGAGGAUGUUGGCUGGAGUUCAAGACAAGAUGAUCCAAUGGCGAGGGUGCUCAUGAGCACGCUGCAGGAGACACCGAGGCAGGCGACACACGCAUGGAUCCUAUACUAUACAGGUAUGCAACGAUGUCUAAAUCAGGAGUAACUUUACAGUGUAUCUGCCGUUGUCAAGAGUUUAUAUGGGCCCUGCGCACAACUUGUUUUGCCGGAGCCACAUGUGCAAUACCUAUAUGUAAUAUUCCUGAUCAAAUAGUAUCGCUGGUCCUAAGUAGUGAAAACAAAGUAAGCACCCGUGGGAACACGGUGCUUCACCUUGCUGCAAAUACAGGCCACAUGCAGCUUAUCCAACUAAUUACCCUAAAUUUUCCGCGGCAUGUCCGCAAACAAAAUGAUGAUGGAGAACUUCCGCUUCAUGUAGCUGCAUCCGCUGGCCAUAUAUCCGCAGUUUGUUGUUUGGUAGACACGGCUGAAGGUAAUACGUUUAAUGAAAAGGACGGGAGAGGGAACACUCAUUGCAUGUCGCUGUGGAAAAUAAUCACCAAGAUGUGGCUAUGUUUUUGGUCGGCAAAGAUGGAUCUACGGCGCAUUCUACAAAUAACUCCAGUAAGACUCCCUUGUGCAUGGCCGCUGAAACUGCCAAUCUUGAACUCGUUAAAGCAAUGGUAGCCAACACGCCAAAUAGCAUAGUAGAUGCUAAUUCUGGUAAUUUUUGGCAAGGAUCGAACGGCAACUUAAUUCUUCGUAGUGCGAUCAUAUGGAGGAAAAAGGCAAAAGGUGGACUCAAGAAAAUUAAUGCAGUUUUCUUGUUGGCCAUGCUCAUGUUAUGCACUCUUUUAAGCGUAUAGUUUCUCAAUGGUGGCUGCCCAGAACCAACAGAAAGAAGUAUACAAAUCUCCUAGAGACGAUAUUGAGCAAAAUGGAUUCAGCUGAUCUAAUCAAUUCAACGGACCAAAAGUGGAUGACUCCUCUUACUCUUGCGGCCUAUAUAGGUAACUUUGUGGCGGUACGCGUAUUGUUACACAAAUUUACUGGAUUGGCAUACAAAGGUGACGAAAAUCAGUUCCUUCUCAUACAUGUGGCGUCCAAAAAAGGCCAUUGCAGGGUUGUAGAAGAGUUUCUCAAUCAU